UACGUAGGUGGCAAGCGUUACUCGGAAUCACUAGGCGUAAAGCGCAUGUAGGCGGUUGGAUAAGUUUCUUGUGAAAGCUCCUGGCUUAACUGGGAGAGGUCAAGGAAUACUGUCUGACUUGAGUGUGGUAGGGGUAACUGGAAUUCCCGGUGUAGCGGUGAAAUGCGUAGAUAUCGGGAGGAAUACCUAUGGCGAAGGCAGGUUACUGGGCCAUCACUGACGCUGAGCUGCGAAAGCUAGGGGAGCAAACAGG
rnacentral:rRNA from 1 species